rnacentral:lncRNA from 1 species
GCUAAGCAACGAGAUCAUGUACAAGAAUUUGCCCAGGAAAAGAAAUUCAUUACAUACACAAUCAACAAGAGCACCACAAGUGCUAACAAGUAAGAGCAAGAACCACAAGUGUACAACAAGUGAAUAAAGAGAAAUAUUCUAGCUAUUACAACCAUUCAACAUUAAUUCUUUUAAUUACAUUUCCAUCUCCAAAAAUGUAAUACAAGUUUACCUCCAAAAUAUAUAAGUAGGUCUGUAACAUAUUACUUCCCCGUAAGUCGUGCCGAGUUCCGUCGAAAUGUGUGGAACGCGGAGUGGAACGAGUUGGUAUAGGUUCAAAGUGCAUUGGAACCUAUAUAGACAUUAAAGGGACCCGAGAGAGUGAAAUUGCAAAAUCUGGCUAAGUUCUAGAUUUUGGACUCUCGGGGACCGGUCCCUAAUGGAAGAGACCGGUCCCCGUAUGCGUAGCCUGCCCAGAAAGCUGAAAAAUCGGCUAAGUCUUGGGAUGCCAGGCUACGGGAACCGGUCCCUGUGGGGAGAGGCCGGUCCCCGUAGGUGAAAAAGUUGGGGAAUGGCUUAGUUGGGAAAUGUUGCUCUCGGGAACCGGUCCCUGAGAUGAGAGACCGGUCCCCGUGCGCGUGGCCAGCCCAAAAAGAUGAAAAUUUAGCUAAGUCCUGAGAGGUGUACUCUCGGGGACCGGUCCCUGCGGGGAGAGACUGGUCCCUGCGGGGAGAGACCGGUCCCCGUAUGCGAAAAUUGCCCAGGUUGGGCUAUUGCAAAAAUAGAAAGUUGAGGGGUUUAAGUGCAAAAGUGGCAUGUGUUGGGUAUAUGGGUGUGAGGGAUGAGUGUUAGGGCUCAUUCUCUCCCACACCAACAAAACACUUCCCUCUCUCUCUCUAAAAACUCUUCUCCUCUCUCUCCUUCUCUCUCUAGGGCUUGGACCAAGGAAGGAUUUAGAGGACUUGGGUGGAGAAGAAGAUCAAGUUGAUGGUGUAGCUUGCAAGAGUGCAAGUGAUCAAGGAAAAGCUUGAACCAAAGGUGAGAGUUUUUGGUUUUAAGUUAGGGUUUUGGUUUGUUUCCUUCUAGCAUGCUUCUAGGAGAUGAUUAGAGGAUUUCCCCCAUGUUUCUCAUGUGUAAGGACUAGAAAUGGGGAAGAUGGUAUUGUACGAGGACCUAAUUUUAGGGUUUUUGGAUUUUGAGGUCGAAGCUUGGGUUUGAUCUCAUUUUAACCUAAUUGGUAGGUUAACGAACACGUUGGUGCGCUCGGUUUGGCGAUACGACGAGCGUGCGCGAAGAAAUUGAGGAAACAGGCUAAAUUGGUACAGAUUGCCGCAGCUCGCGGCGAAAGCGUUUAAAAUUGUGGAAAAUUGCAUUCCGGCAUCCUUGUAACACUAAAAGGUGGGGGGUACUAUCCGGAAACACCGGAUCUCUUUCUAUGUCUAUGUCACUUUAUUUGAGCAUCUUGUAUCAUUGCAUUCUUGCAUAUAGGGCAGCUUAUUUAUGUGUGCUUAAUUGAAUUGCAUUUAGAUGCUAAAAGAACAUGUGAAUGAUGAAACACCAUGAGGACUUGUAUGUGAGAACCCUAUGUGCAUGUGAAUGCGAGAAAAGACUUGGAUAAUAGUAAACAAGGGUGACAUUGGCAUUAGUGACCAUAUUGGCACCGAAAAUGUAAAGGACUAAACAAGGUUUAACUUAUUGUAGUAUCAGGACCAUUGCGGCUUUGUGCAUUGAGACAGGUUUGGCAAGAUUUCCUCAAAUUGAGGAUUGGAUCGUACUCACACUAGCUUUGGCUUGAGGAAGGUAGCUCCUCCUCAAGCGGUGUACUCCGGAGUGUAGACACCACGGGGAGCGGCCCCGUCAUUGUUCCCUCGGGCAGUAGUGCUAGUAGCCUCCCCCGGUAGACGGGAAUUGUGGUUUGUGAGAUUCGGGGUGAACCAUGUGUACCUCGGGAUGAUUGGGUAAAGGCCAAAAGAAAAGAAAAUGAAUGAGCAAGGACAUACAUGCAUAAUUAUCAUGUACUGCUAUAUCUAUCUAUCUGUGGAUUGUUUUCUUGCAGGCAUUGUAAUAGAUUUGCAGUAGUUGGUUUGCAAUCUAUCGUUUCUUGAAUUACAUAUGCAUGAGAUAGACCUAGUGGGCGAGUCGGCGCGGUCGGCGGCCGAACCCACUGGGAACUUCGUUCUAGUUCUCAUUACCACUAACCCUGCAGAUCCGUGCGCGAGCGGGGUGGCGGAGGAUCGAGGCAAGGGUAUCGCGCCAUAGACAGUGGCCCUCGGAGUUUUAGGCAUACCCUAUAUAUUUUGGUAUAUUCAACUUUUGUAUGUUGAACUAGUAAUAUAAAUGAUGUAAACCUUAUAUUUUGGUUAAAGGCCAAUGUGAUGUAAAUGAAUGGAUAAAUAAAUGUAAAUGUAAUAGUUUACUUGUGUUUGAUUCAAAGGUAAUCAAAUGACUUGUAUGUUGAAUGAUUAGUUACUUUCGAUGCUUUCACCUGUUGGUUGUUGUUUGCCCUCGUGCAAACCUUGUAUAUCUUGCAAUUUCCUUGUUGACUUGCUUGUAAUAUACAUGUUGUUGGAGCCUUGGGCGGACAGGGGAGGUGCUAUCCGUUCGGCGUCUGUUCGCGUGCCCGAACUGACCAAAUUGGUGGCUCCGGAGCGUGACAAGCUCUCUAACAUCUAUCCAAAAUAUACAUCAUCAUCGUCUAGUACACGAGGGUACUCUAAAUGCAUAUAGGAAGCUACUAACUACUUAGGGCGCUAUGCCCUUGCC